rnacentral:rRNA from 1 species
GAUGAACGCUAGCGGCAGGCUUAACACAUGCAAGUCGAGGGGCAGCGCGGGAUAGCAAUAUCCUGGCGGCGACCGGCGGAAGGGUGCGUAACGCGUGAGCGACAUGCCCGUUGCCCGGGGACAACCGGUGGAAACGCCGACUAAUCCCCGAUGGGAUAUUGUGCCGCAUGGCACGAUAUUGAAAGUUACGGCGGCGACGGAUUGGCUCGCGUCCGAUUAGCUGGUUGGCGGGGUAACGGCCCACCAAGGCUGCGAUCGGUAGGGGUUCUGAGAGGGAGGCCCCCCACAAUGGGACUGAGACACGGCCCAUACUCCUACGGGGGGCAGCAGUGAGGAAUAUUGGUCAAUGGGCGGAAGCCUGAACCAGCCAUGCCGCGUGCGGGAAGGAGGCCCUAUGGGCUGUGAACCGCUUUUGCCUGGGGGCAAUAAGGGCGUCGCGCACGUCCGAUGAGAGUACCAGGCGAAUAAGCAUCGGCUAACUCCGUG